rnacentral:lncRNA from 1 species
CGUGUGGUACAAUUAAUAACCUCGUGACUUCCCAUUAUGGCGCACAGCCAGCCACCCAAGAUAUAGCUCUUGAGUGACGUGACUUGAUGCAACCCGAUAGGAUAGUAUGGCGGCCACAUUUAGCAUUCGGUUGCUCGGCUGAUGCCUGUGCCAUGGGGUCCGAAAGUCGGAUGAAUGAGCCUAUGAAGCGGUGUCACCUGAUCGGAUAGUCG